UAUAGAGCAGCAGGAACACAUAAGCACUACCAGCCACUCCAUGACAUAUUCCAGGUCCCUUCUUCAACAGGCCUUUCUGCCAAGUUAGCUCUCCACAGCGGAUACAAGUGUCCAGAUAUUGAGGCUUCUUGGAAACCAGAUCCAUCAGUCUGAUGGAAGCUGGCAACAAGCAGCAGGCAAGCUACAGAACAACAAUCUCCAGAGUGGAGGAAGAGACAUUAGGAGAAGAUAGUGGAAAAGAGACCUAGAGAAGUAACUGUUACAGGCAUAUAGGAACAGAUUUUUCUGCAGACAGAAAAGAGAAUGCAAGGAAGAGGAAUGCAAAGAAAGCCCACAUGCUAAGCCAGACAAAAACUGAUAUUUAAAAUCAUUAUUAGAAUGGAUGAUAGAAACAAACCUACUCUGACCCACUUCCACAUUACCAAAGAAAAUGGAAAAGAAAGUAACCUGUGUAUCUUGAAAGCAACUUUCUUCCUGGCCACUUGGAUGGACCUGAAUGCUUAAGGCAGGUGAUGCUAACGCUUGAAGCCAUGGAAGACUAGCAUGUACAGAGGGUUCUGCCUCCCCGUAGACUUAUUCCAGUUUGAUCGAUGUACCUCUCCUGCAGCACACUGGGAAAACCAACUCCAUGUGCACAGCUGUCUGCUUUCCUUACAAGCAGUGCUACGUUCACCCUUCUUUUAAAAAGUAAAAAAUAAAUAUUUUUCUUAAAUCUCCUGAAAAGUUUGUUCAAGGAAUCAGAUUAGUUCCUGGAGUACUACUGACAUUGUUGCUAAUUCAGUAUGUUCCGUGUUGUAACAGCACUAUUAAUAGUACUUUCUAGAGAGCAUACUUUUCCAAAUUUCCCAUAUUAACACAACUACAUGGCAAUGUGUGUAGACUCAGCACAACUACUAAUAUGAUUGUGCCAGUUCACUGGAAAAUGGUACCGGACUGCAAUCUUGAGUAAAACAGAUUUCCCUAUACAUCCCAUUGUUAUUGCUUCUUUUUAACAUGUAAAUUUGGGGGGUUUUGAGGCUUGCUCUUUCUUUGCCUCAGCAACAUGGAAACAGCAAUGUCAGUCCUGUCCUGUUACUGGUAAAGAAGACAAUACAGCACUUUUUUUAUUGCUAAGAGAGAACAAAAUUUCCACAGGUCUCACUUGCCAGGACUGUGUAGCAUUAAAUCCAUCAAAUUCUGCUGUUAAACCUGUCCUUGAGAAGGAGAAAAUUUCAAACACGACUGCAAAUUAAGUGUAACAGAAAUGGAUGCAGCACAACUGUUACUGUAGCUAGGAGGCUGCCUGAGAACAGCUGGUGCUGUUACACAGUUGGUCAAACACAAUGAGCAUCUCCAUU